rnacentral:misc_RNA from 1 species
GGUAUCCCUACCUGAUCUGAGGUCACCCAUGAAGAUGAGUGGGUUUAUAGGCAAGCAAAAAGCUCAUUCCUAACAAUAAAACGAAAUGUGUUAUCACGUUUACAGUUGGAUUGAUCAAUACUAGCCUUUAAAUUUCAAAAGUGUAACCGGUUCUUUCACAGAUUACAUCUCUUAACCAAAUCCAAAUCUUUACCUACAAAGAUUUUGAUUUUUUUGCUGCUGACGCUCAGACAGGCAUGCCCUACAGAAUUCCAUAGGGCGCAAUGUGCGUUCAAAGAUUCGAUGAUUCACGAGAUUCUGCAAUUCACAUUACUUAUCGCAUUUCACUGCGUUCUUCAUCGAUGCAAGAGCCUAGAGAUCCGUUGUUGAAAGUUUUAUUUUUUUUUGUACUAAUAAAUCAGACAAUAUAUGUUUCUUCACGAUUUUUUUUUUUNN